rnacentral:rRNA from 1 species
UACGUAGGGAGCAAGCGUUGUCCGGAAUCAUUGGGCGUAAAGCGCGCGUAGGUGGCUUCGUAAGUCCGUUGUGAAAGUCAAAGGCUCAACCUUUGAAAGCCGAUGGAUACUGCGGAGCUAGAGUACGGAAGAGGCGAGUGGAAUUCCUGGUGUAGCGGUGGAAUGCGCAGAUAUCGGGAGGAACACCAGUGGCGAAGGCGACUUCCUGGCCUGUUCUUGACGCUGAGGCGCGAAAGCUAGGGAGCAACGGG